rnacentral:sRNA from 1 species
UGGAACACCGCGCUGGACGGGGAAGC